rnacentral:rRNA from 1 species
GAUGAACGCUGGCGGCGUGCCUAAUACAUGCAAGUCGAGCGAACAGACGAGGAGCUUGCUCCUCUGACGUUAGCGGCGGACGGGUGAGUAACACGUGGAUAACCUACCUAUAAGACUGGGAUAACUUCGGGAAACCGGAGCUAUUACCGGUUAAUAAUUUGACCCGCAUGUUUCAUUGUUAAAAGCCGUUUUUCCUUCCCCUAUAAGAUGAAUCCGCGCCGCAUUAGCUAGUUGGUAAGGUAACGGCUUACCAAGCCAACGAUGCGUAGCCGACCUGAGAGGGUGAUCGGCCACACUGGAACUGAGACACGGUCCAGACUCCUACGGGAGGCAGCAGUAGGGAAUCUUCCGCAAUGGGCGAAAGCUUGACGGAGCAACGCCGCGUGAGUGAUGAAGGUCUUCGGAUCGUAAAACUCUGUUAUUAGGGAAGAACAAAUGUGUAAGUAACUAUGCACGUCUUGACGGUACCUAAUCAGAAAGCCACGGCUAACUACGUG